UAAUAUUAUAGUUUGUAGGUGGUAACUUGUGCACAGCUCGGCUGUGCUUAUUUUUUUUAUUAUAGUUUAAUGCGUGGGUUCGAAUUGGGUGGUCGUUGCUUUCCUUUAUGCCUUUGGCGUCGAUUUUUUUAUGGGACUUCGUCUAGAAAAUAAGAGGGUGGUUUUGCGAGCUGGGGGCCAGCUCAAAAUUUUGCCGUAGUCAAAAUUUUCUUCGGGUAGGGGAGCACUGUAACAAUAAAAUUUUAACUCUGCAUUUUUUCAAUACUGUUUUGUACGUGACCCGUCUUCGUUUGAUACCCUUACCGCCAUCUAGCGAGCCCAGUCGAUAACAACAUGGUCCGGGUUGCUAGAUUAAAAAUAAUUUCGGUGCCUUCCUACAUUUUUGUUUAUUUUUUUAAUCGAAAGGGGUUUGUAAAUUAAAAUUGUCUUCAUAUAUUGUUUUUUCUUUCUAUUUAAUAUUAGUCCAAAUAAAGUAAAGAAGAAAGGUAAUGUUUUCUUUUCAAAGUCACCUAGGAUCGCACGAAUCCAGUUCGGGCUGUGGCAACUCUGCCAUUUGACUUGUCAUUAUUCUUCCUGUCAAAAUGAAGAUCGUGGACCGUUUUCUUUUGCGGUGUUUCGCCGUAUGAAAGCCGUUUAAUGGCUAUAAUACAUCCCAUCGGGAGACAUCUCCUUUUUAAUCCCGGAUUUUUAUCCUAUAUGGAAGUCGUGUGAGACGAUGGUGUGUUGGUGGAGGCCUCAUCGAGUCGACAUGCUGGUCAAUCCCGGCCACGUAUGCCGCUUCUCCUCGAUGGGUAAGUUAAUUACUUGUUUUUGAAUUCGUAAUCCUUACGCCCAUGCGGGGGUCCGCUCUUUAAAUCAUGAACCGAUUUUUCUCCUUUAUUUAGGUUCCAGCUUGUCAAAAGUCUGUGAACCCUGUCUUACUACCUGUAACUCGUUACAGGGCCUACCACUUAGUCUACAGUUUGGCUGUAAGGCAGCCCCCAGCCAGCUUGGUGUACCGGCGGUCGGGGCCUGUUCGCUAUUACUACAACUACCAUGGAUGCAGAGGCACUGCGACAUGAGUCUCCAUUAGUGUGUCGGCAGUGGUACCUUCCUUCUAAUGUCACUACUUAAAAGGUCAGAGACAACCAAUUUAUUAUAUUCUCCAAGGCGCCCAACUUACUUUAAAUAAUUUUCCUUAUUUUUUAUACCACGUACCCAGAGUGCCCAACCAUAAGAAAUGUAGCCGCCAAACCCACAUUUGCUCUCAUAUUUUUAGUUAAGUCUGUAGUAAGCUAGCCGAGGCUAUUUAAUAUAUUAUAAUGUCAUAAGUUAACAUUUGACACUUCUAAACUUAGAUAUUUGUCGUUUAGUCAAAUAAAUGUAUUAUAAGUAA